UGGGGAAUAUUGGACAAUGGGCGCAAGCCUGAUCCAGCCAUGCCGCGUGAGUGAUGAAGGCCUUAGGGUUGUAAAGCUCUUUCGCCGACGAAGAUAAUGACGGUAGUCGGAGAAGAAGCCCCGGCUAACUUCGUGCCAGCAGCCGCGGUAAUACGAAGGGGGCUAGCGUUGUUCGGAAUCACUGGGCGUAAAGCGCACGUAGGCGGAUUGUUAAGUCAGGGGUGAAAGCCUGGAGCUCAACUCCAGAACUACCCUUGAUACUGGCAAUCUCGAGUCCGGAAGAGGUAAGUGGAACUGCGAGUGUAGAGGUGAAAUUCGUAGAUAUUCGCAAGAACACCAGUGGCGAAGGCGGCUUACUGGUCCGGUACUGACGCUGAGGUGCGAAAAGCGUGGGGAGCAAAACAGGAUUAGAUACCCCUGGUAGUCCACGCCGUAAAACGAUGGAGGCUAGCCGUUGGCGAGCAUGCUCGUCAGUGGCGCAGCUAACGCAUUAAGCCUCCCGCCUGGGGGAGUACGGUCGCAAGAUUAAAAAC
rnacentral:rRNA from 1 species